UCACUUUCAACAACGGAUCUCUUGGCUCUCGCAUCGAUGAAGAACGUAGCGAAGUGCGAUAAGUAGUGUGAAUUGCAGAAUUCCGUGAAUCAUCGAAUUUUUGAACGCAAAUGGCGCUUCCUGGCAUCCCGGGAAGUAUGCCUGUUUGAGGGUCAGUAUU
rnacentral:rRNA from 1 species